ACUUGCCUCACAGCUAGGGACAACAUUUGGAAACGAAUGCUAAUACCUGAUAUUAUGAUUAUAUGGCAUCGUAUAAUUAUGAAAGCUAUAUGCGCUGUGAGAGAGCUUUGCGUCCCAUUAGCUAGUUGGAGAGGUAACGGCUCACCAAGGCGAUGAUGGGUAGCCGGCCUGAGAGGGUGAUCGGCCACAAGGGGACUGAGACACGGCCCUUACUCCUACGGGAGGCAGCAGUGGGGAAUAUUGGACAAUGGACCGAGAGUCUGAUCCAGCAAUUCUGUGUGCACGAUGAAGUUUUUCGGAAUGUAAAGUGCUUUCAGUUGGGAAGAAACAAAUGACGGUACCAACAGAAGAAGUGACGGCUAAAUACGUGCCAGCAGCCGCGGUAAUACGUAUGUCACGAGCGUUAUCCGGAUUUAUUGGGCGUAAAGCGCGUCUAGGUGGUUAUGUAAGUCUGAUGUGAAAAUGCAGGGCUCAACUCUGUAUUGCGUUGGGAAACUGUAUAACU
rnacentral:rRNA from 1 species